GAUGCUAGCUGAGAUAUCGGAGAUUGAGUCCAACAAAGGCGUUACCAAACAGUGUGAGUCAGUACUGAUCACGGGAAGCGAAAAGAGAAGGCUCAGAAGAGCCCCUAGCUCGCCACCGACACCAUCCAUUGAAGUAAUUGAACUGAGGGUGUGUGAACUGGGAGACAAAACUCUUGUUGUAAGUCUGACUUGCAGGAAGAAG
rnacentral:misc_RNA from 1 species